rnacentral:rRNA from 1 species
ACUUAGUGGCAGACGGGUGAGUAACAUGUGGGUAUCUACCCUUUGGCCUGGAAUAACACGAGGAAACUUGUGCUAAUACCGGAUAAGUCUUUACGGAGAAAGCUUUAUGCACCAUUGGAUGAGCCCGCACUUGAUUAGUUUGUUGGUAGGGUAAUGGCCUACCAAGACUAUGAUCAAUAGCUGAUUUGAGAGGAUGAUCAGCCACAUUGGGACUGAGACACGGCCCAAACUCCUACGGGAGGCAGCAGUGGGGAAUCUUGCACAAUGGAGGAAACUCUGAUGCAGCGAUGCCGCGUGAGUGAAGAAGGCCCUUGGGUUGUAAAGCUCUUUCGUCGGGGAAGAAAAUGACUGUACCCGAAUAAGAAGGUCCGGCUAACUUCGUGCCAGCAGCCGCGGUAAUACGAAGGGACCUAGCGUAGUUCGGAAUUACUGGGCUUAAAGAGUUCGUAGGUGGUUGAAAAAGUUGGUGGUGAAAUCCCAGAGCUUAACUCUGGAACUGCCAUCAAAACUUUUCAGCUAGAGUAUGAUAGAG